AUGCAUAGUAUAUGGUCAUCACGGAACUGUUGGACCCAUGAUCGUGAUGGCUAUGACCCAGUUCAGGCUCUAAAGUGGAUUCAUGAAACCUUGGCGAUUUUGGAUCUUCCGUCAUCGUGCAAGAAGAGCACGGCGACCCAGUGUUGGCGCCCGCCCGAGGCAGGGUGGGUGACCAUAAACACGGAUGGUGCUAUGAGUGUCGGAGACAUGAAAGUUGGAGCGGGAGGGGUGGCUUGCUCGCACCUGGCCUUCCUUGGAGCAUGGAGUAAACCUCUGUCAGGCGUCACCGAUCCGUUCAUCGCUGAACUCUUAGCCUUUCGGGGGGGGAUGAUCUUUGCUCAACUUCGUGGCUUCUCACACGUGGUAUUGGAGAUUGACUGCUUGGAGCUAGUCAACAUCUGA
rnacentral:rRNA from 1 species